rfam:Ictidomys tridecemlineatus contig133114, whole genome shotgun sequence.
GGGAUUGUAGUUCAGUGGUAGAGUGCUUGCCUGGCAGGCAUGAGGCACUGGGUUCGACCCUCAGCACCA